rnacentral:rRNA from 1 species
GAUGAACGCUGGCGGCGUGCCUAAUACAUGCAAGUCGAGCGAACAGACGAGGAGCUUGCUCCUCUGACGUUAGCGGCGGACGGGUGAGUAACACGUGGAUAACCUACCUAUAAGACUGGGAUAACUUCGGGACACCGGAGCUAAUACCGGACAAUAUAUUGAACAGCAUGGUUCAAUAGUGAAAGACGGUUUUGCUGUCACUUAUAGAUGGAUCCCCGCCGCAUUAGCUAGUUGGUAAGGUAACGGCUUACGAAGGCAACGAUGGGUAGCGGACCUGAGAGGGGGAUCGGCCACACGGGAACGGAGACACGGUCCAGACUCCUAGGGGGGGAAGAGGUAGGGAAUCUUCCGCAAUGGGGGAAAGCCUGACGGAGCAACGCCGCGUGGGGGAGGAAGGUCUUCGGAUCGUAAAACUCUGUUAUUAGGGAAAAACAAAUGUGUAAGUAAAUAUGCACGUCUUGACGGUACCUAAUCAGAAAGCCACGGCUAACUACGUG